GUUAUGGUUACAGAGUUGAGCCCAAUAUCGAGAGGCCCAUGUAUUCUUCGUAAACAACAAGCGGCUUCUAGGGUUUGGUCUAUUCUUCAGUCGCCGAUACCAAAAGCGUUCUUCUCCGUUCUCAGACGAAAUCAAUGAAGUGUUUUUCUGUUAAAACAUCAGCCAUUAAAUCUUAGGCCUUCUCUCAUCUUUAGGGACGAUUGGAUUUUACCGUCGACAACCAACUUGAUGUUGCAGUUACGCUUCUCUUCCACUCCAAUUGAUUCCGUAACUGCUGUUAUUUAUGGCAUUCAUUCAGACAAUCCCAUGAUCUCCUCUUUAAUUUAUCUUCACCGUCUUCUACAGCACAAGGGACGCAGUUUUGUUAUAAGCUCACCACACAAAUUCUCUUUUGUUCAUUGACAGACAAAACGGAAGCUAGAAUCAUAAUUAAGGCGAAUCAACAAGGAACCGAACAUCAACUCUCUACAUACGUUCAUGAUGAUGUCAACAAGAAUCUAUUCUUCAAUUGGCUCCAUACACUCUAAACUGAGGACAAAAAAAAUCCUUGACGAAGUCAGGGAGAUAAGAUCAAACUUUGAAAUCUCAGAAGAAGAAUAAGAAGCAAUGGCAGAGAAUGCUGAUUGGUGAUCUCAGGAAGAGGCUAUCAAGCUACAUGACCCGAAAAGGAGGUUGGAUUGCUCAACUGAGAUAUCUGGGUCCAAGAAGCAAAACAAAGAUAUCAUAUGAGAGGCAGCUCAACCGCAUCACAGAGAUGCUGGAGACAUAGCUGAGUUAAACGACAAAGAGUCUGGAGCGGAAGAGAGGGCAUUUGAAGUUUGGAAAUGGUCAAGCGAUGAGAUUAAGUAGCUGAGAAAAAAUCUGGAGACAGCGAAAAGAGAUCAAAGGAGCUCCAAAAAUAAUUGGGAAAAUGCAUCAAUCUGGAAUUGAGAGUCAGUCUAUAAGGGUUUUCAUUGAACUAGGAAAAUGCAUCUAUCUGUGAUUCCAAAAAGCUUUCUCAAACUCUGAUAAGGUUAUCAUUUGUAUUCAUAUCAGUCUAUGAUUUUGUCAACAAGAAGACAGAGUAAGUACAUCUAAUUACAGAUGCACAUGAAUAUUUUUUUUUUCUCUUUUGAUGCUGGACAAAUUUGACUUUACUUAAUUUUUUUAUUUUGAUUAAUAAGAUUCCCUUGGUUUUUUUCUUUA